rnacentral:lncRNA from 1 species
CUUUUGACAAAUUAACCCUCUUGGAAUAGUCUCUAAAACAGACAUUCAUCUCCCCCACUUGCCACAAAAAAUGUCUUUAUCCAAAGCAUCGAGAUGUCCCCUGGAAACAGCAGAGCUUGGCCAGGUGUGGUACGGAGGCCUAGCUCCAUGUCCUAGGAUCUCAAAUUCAGAGGUCCAGGGAGUAGCCAUACCCUGCCUUCCUCAUAGGUCUAAGGGGGGAGAUCUCUACUGGGAGUUUGACAGUCAGGUAACGUUUUAGCCACUUAUGAUCAGCACUUAAAGUCAGAUUGCGUUGCCCUGGAGUGAACCAAUGAUUAUUAAUUUUUCAGCCAUAAUAAGUGGAUUUCUCUAUUUUUCGCUUGUAUUGAGCACAAGUCUGAUACUAUUUAAAAUACAAAAUACUAGAAAACGAAUGUAAAGAAUGGGAAAUCAUGGGGUGGUUUUUUUUUGCAUGAAAAUAGACUGCUUACAAAUUUGCUUAAUAUCUCAGGACAAAAGAAUGAAUGGUUGUAUGUAAAAUUGGUAAAUCAUACGUAGGUUGUAUUUUCUUGACAGUUUUUAUUUAAGGAAACCCUACAAUGGGGGAAGGGUCCUGAUGGUCUUAGGUUCUCUCUUAAGUAUGCUGCGUACCCCUGCCUGUGCGUCUACAAAUCCUCCCAUGAGAAUGAGACCAGCAUCCACAUGAGGACCCGUCCCCGGAUGAGCCCCUCUUCACUGAGAGCACACUAAUGGUUGUACCGCAGAGGUGAUGAGUACUUGCAAAUGUAAGCAGGCGUUUCUAAACCUAGUCGCAGACAUAAAGGAUUUUCACGAGGUAGCAGUGCCACGGAAGCGCUCAUCUCUCCACACACUUUAUGUUUCUUUGUUAAAUCAUCACGGCGAUUGCAUGGGGAGGGGGAAAUGGCUAUUUUUCGAAGAAUUGCUUACUCUACUUUCAACUUUUGAAAAUGAAUGGAUUAAAAUAUUACUUUUUAAAUAUGCAUAGAUGUAUCUUAACUGUAAUUAUAUUUUCAUUUGCUUUGUUAUAACAGCAUGGUCGGCAAAUUCAAAAUGCACUGACGGAAACUUUUGUAAAAAAAAAAUAAAAAUUUCUUUUUUUUAUUUCUC